UUUGAAAAACACACCCACGUCUUGAAAUAACGGUAUCAAGUCCCUAUGGGAGCCACUCCCAAGUCCCCAAAUAAAUAACGGUCUGAGAUCUCAUUUGAAAAACACACCCACGUCCCGAAAUGACAAAAUAACGAAAAAAUCUUGACACAUUCGAGUUAUGUCAAAGUAUGUAAGUAUAAUCUAUUUCAACGUAUUUCGUAUCAUAAGAUACAAAUCAUGAUUGGAAAUAGAUUUUUAAUAAACGUUGUUUUCACAUUUGCUUGCGAAAGCUUUGUUUAUUGUUACAGGCAAGUUACUUUUGUGUCAAAGGCAUUGUCGAGAUUUAUAACCCCAUUGCCAUGUCUCCUAGGAGUUUUCUCUAAUUUGCUUGACACAUUUACAAUAAGUAUUCUACUUUUCUCCCUCUUCUCCAUUUCUUGCAUCAUGUUUUGGCUUGAUCUAUACCCUUUACUUUAGGUACAAUAUAUGAACUUUAAUGUAUUGGGUGGAUCCGAUUGUUAAUAAUAAUAAUGAUGACCAGAACCCAGUUCAAUCAGUAAGCUCUGACAAGUAUCUGGGGAUAAUUGACCAAGAAAAUGACAAAUUUUAGGAGCCCAUCCAAUCGAAGGUGAUUCCGGCUUUCCUAGCUUGAAGCUGACUUUACCGAAAAUUCUAAUCCAGGGACGCGUUUACCCUGAAAACACUUUUCAAAUCCACAGUCCAAUCAAAGCUCGAAUGUGCUUCCUCUAUAUGGGCCCUAAUCACCGCAGAGGAAUUAUCCAUUGAAGGCAUGUCUAAUUUGAGUUCUUGGGAAAGAUUUCAGACCUCGGGAUUAUAAAGUAUAAAGUGUCCAGAGUAGGUACGAACGUUAUCAAAUGCUUUAUGUCUUCAAAUGUCUUCAAUGUUAAUCUUCAGUGUUAAUUUAAUUUACGUGUACUUGGCCUUAAUUAUUGGCAAUGUUUCCUGGAAAUACUCUUUAAGUCUCCAAACUAGUGCGCUCCUUUAUUAAAAGGUGUUUUUUGUUUGAAAUUUGAAGAUAUUCAUUUGGAUCAAAGUUCAUUAUUGUUAGUGAAUGGUGAGUGGACUUUGCUGAAUUCCUUGUUGAAGUCAAUUUUUGCCACGGAUACAGUCGGGUAAGUAAAGUUUGAUGAAGUAGAUUUUAAAAUUGAUUUACAAAUUCAUCCCAAUCUAGGUAAAUGAAGAGACAUUGGGCUGCGUAUUUUCCUACGGAUGACACGUUUGCCAGGAUUGAUAGUAAAGAAAAUACGGAGAAGAUAAUACGAUUAGGUUCCAAAGAAAUCCAGGUCGCUUUUGACGGCGUAUGGUUCACCGGAGAAAUUGUGGAAGGAUUUGAUUCUGCGGUUGCUUGUGAUAAGUUCCUUAACGAGCCAGUUCCUGAUCUUUUGGGAGGUCCUCCAACUCCAAGAAAGCGGAAAAGCUUGGAGAAUCAAUCUGAAGUAGACGAAUCAACCAUUAUUAUUAGCCCAACUCUCGACAAAUAAAUUGACAUGUGUACAAGCCCAGGUAUUUUGUUUGGAACAUUUUGUUUCUUAUAAUGGAGUUACUUAUUAAUAUGCUGCUCUUCUCUGCCAUCCUUGCCCAUUUGACCAUCCAUCUCUGGACCAUAAAGCAAAGAGAAAUUUGGAUAGAGAGUCGUUUCUCUUCAAAGGUAAGUAGCAAACAAAAAUUGGAUGUAUUCAGCCAAAACAAUAUGUCCUUAAUUUCCCAAGAUGAACAAUCGGCCAUGGGACAAAGAAUUGAAAAUCAACCUCACAUCCUACAUGAACAUGAGGCGGACAAUUUUUCCAAGAUGAUAAGUGGUAAAUAUCAAAUAGUUUUGAUAGUAUACUGAACACGAUCAGCUUCCUCUUCGAUUUAAUUUAACCCAAUAAGCAGAUUUGGUGCCAGUUCCAUCGACUUCGUCAGGAAAACGAGCGUACCGCCCUUGGAAAGGCAACUAUUUUCUAGUCUCAUAAUUGCCAAUAGUUUCAAAUUCGACCUCUUUCUAACUAUCUAGCUCUCAUUCAACGUAGCGAAGAAUCGUCUUCGUCAACAGAGAAAAAUAUUCAGGUUACUUCUCCCGAAGCAAACAAAGAUCAGGAAGGUACGUGCUUCAAUUGAUGUACGAGUUUUCAUAAACAAAAUUCCGUUUCGAUUUACGUUGUAGGAAACGAGGAUGAACCAGUUCCGUCGACUUUAUCAGGUAAACGAGGGUACCGCCCUUGGAAAAGUGUGUUCACAUCAAUCAUUUUCGUAGUUCAUAAGACUGCUAAUUGCUCGAAUAAUUUUAGUUAAAAUUCCUCGCCAAAAAAGGGCUCGCUCAUUUCCCAUGUUUUUUUCUGAAUUGGACGAAUUUGAUAACUCGUCAAACUAUGAUGGUACGUUUUUCAGCCGCUGGUUUUCGUUAUUACCAACAAAAAAUGUAGAUAUUACAAAAAAACAUAUUUCUAUUUCAAUCUGCAUUUUCGAAAACCAAGAUGAACCAGCUCCAUCGACUUCAUCUGGAAAACGAGGACGAGCCCCUUUCAAAGAUGAUCGUUUGGUCAAAAUUCGACUGCAAGAAGUUGCCACAGCAUCCGAGGAACAUAUUCCUGGGACUUCAUCUGAUAUGGACGAGUCUGACGACUCUUCAAUUCAGGAAGGCACACAUAUUGCACCCCGCUUUCUUUAGAGUCGAGCAUUCUUGAUUGGAAGAAAUGUCUUCAAUAUUUGGUUUCAUAUACCGAAAGUGUAACGUACAUUAACCCACCGCCCAGAACAAGGCAACCUGGUUUCUCAGACACAUAUCUAUCUUGGUUGAUGGGUUCACUCCCAUCCAGCUCUCCAGGCAACGUUGUAAUCAAGCCUUGUGAGAAGAAAGAAGGUGGCCCGAACUA